rnacentral:lncRNA from 1 species
GAAAAAUAUUCAACCUUGGGAGAGGCCAGCCCCUUCCAGAUGGGUUUCCAAGGCCAUGGAGUAUUCAGUGGGUUAGAUAUGUCAAAAUAGCAUAACAUGAUUUCACCGAGAAUGUGCCUUCCUAAUUCGCUUUCCAGAUGAGGCAAUCAGAGGUAGGAGAAGAAGAAAAUCUAUGGAGAAAGUCCAAGAGACGCAGAUAUCUAUCCACCUCCCAGUCGUUUAGGUUUCUCCUGAUAUUGAUCAGCCAACCAUGAUCCAAUAUGAAGUCUGAAAUGAGAGCAUUUCUCGAGGAAAUGAUUCUGUAAAGGUCUAGGAAGCUGUCUUUAAUAGGAGAUACUGCCAGAAUUUAGUCUUUCUACCACCCCCCACUUUUAUUGAAGAGUGCAACAUGAAGAAAUCCCAUAAAAUCCUGAUAUGUUUUCAGAUACCAAGUCCUAAAGGAGGAGGAGUAGGUUUGGUGGACCAGGGAUCAAGAAGAUCAUACUUGGAGCAAAUUACAGCCCUCCAGAGAGAGUUUUCUUCUUGAUUGAAACGCCAGAUCCACUUACACAUUGGCUACUGUUAUGUGCAUUCAAAUCCCUAAUCCCCAGUCCUCCAAACUUUUUAUUUCUGAUGACCCUGUACCACUUGACUAAGUUAAAAGAUCUCCUAUCUUUGUUACCUUGCCAAAGGAAGCUCUGCAAAUUUUAUCCAACCUUUUGGAGACACUUACAGGCAUGGGAAAAAGAGCCAUGCUGUAAAUGGGUAAAGAAUCCAGAACACUGUUGAUCAACACCACUCUCCCUCCUGGUGAGAGAUAUUGUCCUUUCCAAGUAGACAACUUUCUCUCGCAUUUCUUUCUCUAACACAUCACUCCAGAUAGAUAAAGCAUUAGAUUUGGCCUCCAGAGGAAGGCCCAAAUACUUUGCAGGAAGAGAACCGAUAUUGCAACCCAUGAUAUCAGCCAGAAGUUGCAUAUUAGUAACUGUGAGAAAGCACGGGAGAAAAAUAUAAUUGAUAUUAAACAUAAUACAAUGAGCCCUAUAUA